GGUGGAGCAGAAGCAAGACCAUUUGUUACCUACCAUAAUUCGCUAGGAAGGGAUCUUUAUUUGAGGAUAGCAACAGAGCUCCACUUGAAGAGGAUGUUGGUGAGGAUUUAGAGUAUAUUCAUUUUCUUUCGAGUGCUAUACUAACAUGCAUAAUCUCUUCAACCGCCCUCUGGUAUUUCCAAGGUGUAAUUUCUCGAGUUUAACUUGGUCAUUUUCCCGAAGUUGCUUUCUAAUUUUUAUUCAUUAGUUUGUGUGUAUAUGUCAAAUUUUAUCACUUCCAUGGCAGUAUUGUUUUUUAUUUUUGUUUGUUCUAAUUUAUUUUUGUUUUUUUCUUUUUGGUUUGUUCUACCAAACCUUUUCACUUGCAUGCACGUUUUUGGUUCCCAUUAUAAAAAAAAAAUCGACUAUCGUCAUUUACUUUUCUCUCCAUAUUAUACAUUUAUGGUUUUUAUUUCGUAAAGAAUCGGUAUUAUAUCUUGUUAUUAGCUUGUUGUUAUCUCAUCUCUUUAGGAGUAUUUCAACCGUUGUUUUCUUCUUCUUUGUGUUUGCUUUUAGUUUCCCUGGUAAUUAUUCCAAGUCAACUAAUACUCUUUUUUGGUGUAUACAUGACCUUUCUGCAUCUUCUUUGCCAUGCCACUUAGUCUCAAAUUUGGGUUUGUUGAAUUGGUUGUAGUGUCUUUUAUAGGGUUAUGUAUAUUCUUCCCCAUGCCAUAUAUGAUAUCAUGGUUUGUUUGGAUUGAGUCAUGUUUCUUUCUUGUUCAUUUUAUUUGGUUGUUAGUUGUAUUAUUGUUUUGCAUUAGUGACCCAGAUUCACAUUUCUUUCAAAAAUAGCUUUGAAAAUAUAUGUUAUAUCAACUCCAAAAAUUAAUGGGUUAUAUUUAUAUAUAUUUUCUUGUUUAUCUAUUUAUCUUUGACGUAUAUUAAAUAACAUAUAACAAUUGCUCAUGGUUGCCACAACUACUAUAUUGCAUUGUACUUUAACUUUCUGUUAUCUAGCUAACCCUUGAUUUCUCCUUUUAUGUUCUGCAUAAUUUUCUAUUUUUUUUACUAAUGUAAUUUGUACAUUUGUUAUGUGUGGAAUUGUGGUAGCUGAACCACAAUAUUGGAUCCAAGGGUUCUUUUAUGGGGUUUGGUUUCUUGGUUAUUUAUCUGAUUGUCUUUGUUUUAUGGUUAUUGUUUUUGUUCUAUUAUAUGUUUUGCUCUUCUUCUUUUUUUUUAGUUUGAGUUUCUAUCAGCAUUUUAUAUAGCAUCAUAAAAAAACCAUUGCAUUAGUAUUACUGUUAUUUACACAAAAUAGCAAACCAUGUUCUAGGGUCCUCUUUUUUCUCAAUGACGUGUCAGUAGCACAUAUUGAGGUAUCAUACAUUGUCAAUGAAAUUUUAGGAUAUUUAUCGUAUCAUGAUUGUCAUUUUUGUUGAACUUUACUAGCUCUAUGAUGUUCAAGGUGAGUAUCCAUUUGCAUUGUUUAUGAGUUGCACUAUAUUUUAUUUGAGUUCCGUAUCAAUUUGCUUUUUUUAUUGGUUGUAGGUUCGACCCAAGGAAUUCUAUGUUGGAGUGGUCCAUUCUACUUAUUGACAACUCGAACCGAAGUGGAUCAAUGGAGUUUGUUGUUCCCCCAACAGACUCAUCUGUAUUUUUCCCGAUU